CUCUUAGCGUUGUUGCCUCCACCGUAGUGCGAAUAAUGAAAGAAUAUUGGAAGAAAAAAUGCAGGAUUUCUGUGCCACCCACUGGGUCGCGAGUGUGUUAUAAAAACUUCAUUACAAGUCCGGCGCAAUUAAUGAUUGUUAGAAUGUACCUCCGAUGAACGAGAGGGUGAGAUAAACUUCACUUCGAAGUGAGCAGAAAAAAAGUAUAAAUUAAAUUAAUUUGCAGAAUUUAUGAACUCGAUGAGUCCGUAGGAAAUUACAUAAAUUUUCAGAUAAUUAUAUCAGCACCCAUUUAAUUAUGCUUAGUUAAAAUUUUGUAUAACUGAAAAUUAGUUGAGUUAUAAACUACGCGAGGUAAUAAGUGGGAAAUUCUUUGUCAGCACUAUACGAAAUUCCAAGUUUCAUCCAGCAGACAGAAGAGUUCCUUGCACGCGAAGAAGUUCGCUGAAAAAUUCAGUGUCUAGUACAGGGUGGUAAAAAAGGAAAGUAGGGUCCAACGAGAGGGUGGUUAUCCCAACGUCUGGUUGUGUUUCGUCGUAAUUAGAGGUGGCCGUAAUCUCGAACAGCCGCGACGCCUAGUAAUUAUUUCAUUUGCUACUUCUUGAUUUGACAGUAAUUAACGAAGCCCGUUCGUCGACCAGGAAUUACCACGUCAGACGUCAAGUCAGCCCCAUCGAGUAACUCGCAUUCUUCCCCUUGUUUAACCUUCAUUGUGCCUGAUACCACGGUUCUGUUUAAUUAACGAUAUUUACCCCCGUGCCCCUCCACCCUUAUCUUCGUGUCUAUUCCACCCACCAUGAAAAUAGAAACCUUCCGAAUCUUCGUUGUUUUAGGAACUUUCUUUGGAAGAUUUUUUGGAAGAUUUAAGAAGGGUUGUAAAUAUUUUGGUAGUAGGGUGUUGAUAAAAUAAAAAUAAAAUUUGUUAGUUUGGAAAUAAAUUUUAUUGGUACCGUGUGCGGGUACUCGAAUCUCGGGUCUGACCGGGACGGGUAAUGAUCGAGUUGAGUUCGAGUCUCGACUUAAAAAUUUUUGUCCUAGACAAACUUUCAAAGUCCCACUCGAAUUUAAAGAAAUUCCCGACCCGACUUUUCGGGUACCCGCACGUCCCUAAUUCAUAGGAAUGAAUAAAAACAUAGAGGAAUUCAUGUCCGAAGUAUAGCGUUAAAGAACGCCAACUAUCGAAUUACACUCAGUAGGGUGGAAUGUGAUAAUUAUCCAGCGGAAAUGGAGCACAAAUUACAGUGGUCUAUUUGACGGACGUGGACCACGGGUGUACACGAAACUAAUGAGGACGAAGUUAUUCAGAAAAAGGCACGGAUUAAAGUCCUUUGCUUGUGACUGUAAAAACUGACAGAGAAAUUUCCAUAAAAGCUUGAAACGCGCGUUUCACCUGUUUUUACUAAUUCUGUAUCUCGAUAUUCCUUUAUGCUCCCCGUUGGCGGUAAAAUUUGCCACCCGUGCUUUUGAAAUUAAUGGAAAUUAUAAAUUGAUAGCAGAGUGGGUAUUAAAAAAUUCAUCAGAAAUAUUUCUCACCCGAAUUUUAUUUAAAAUUACAUUCUCUAACAGUUCUUCUUUAAAAAAUAACAUUAUAAAUGUAUAGUCAUGAUCGUGGAGAGAAAAUCUCCAAAAAUCUCGCCCUCCUCGUUAUUCAUUCAUGCAAUCCUCGGAUAAUCAGGUUACCACUUUCGAAGGGAGUCGAUUGCUCGAGCGUCCUCUCAACCUCGUCGAGGGUGAAUCGGUUCAUUGUGCAAUCGAUCCUGAUCAACGGUGGUCGUUUCUGAACAAUCAGCCCUGAAAAGAAGUCGUCGAAGGUUCUUGUGUGGUCUCGUUUUUCUUCGGUCUUCGAGGAUCUGGGUGAUUACGCUCUAGAACCAUCAUGACUCUACCCCGCGUUUCCUUGUUUCCACUAACACGCGUUGUCGCCUAUAAUCUCGAAGAGACACUUGGAAAAGUGUAUUUUUCAAUCGAAUCCAUUGGAACAUCUUGGAAAUGUUCAUAUUCUGCUAUUAUCUUUAUCAAAUUAUUACACAGUCACAAACAUCGUCGCACAAAAUGCACCCACAUCAGUUGCCCCUGCAAGGCUGUCGAACAACCGAAAAAUGGUUCAAAGGACCGAUCUGAACGGCAAACACUCGUCUCCGCGGCGUACAUGCCGGCCACGUAAAAUCAAGCAAUCGUUCGAAGCGAAGCGGCGAUUAAGCGAGCGCGCUGGUAAGAGACGGACAGGUUGAAAAAUAGAGGAAACGGAACGAAACAGGGUUAGUAAAGACACCACGGGUCCUCCGGCACGGGUUGCCGGUAUCGUGGAGGGAGGCGAGGACGCGAAAAGGUGGAGGAGGAGGUGUCGAGCGUAGAGUCCGCGGUGAGCUUUGGGGAUCGCGAGCACGCAGACUCGGGCAGUCUCGCGUGAUCUCGGCCCAGUCUGCUUCCCGAUUGGCGGGUGACGUAGUAGCGGGGCGGGAGGAGCAGGGGGGUAGCGUUUGAAAGGCGCGUAUACGCCGCGAUACGACCGGGCUGCGGCGACGGUGGCGGUGGAGGCCUACGCGGGCGUCGCGAGAGAGACGCUCCUCAGUUGUGUCAAGCUAGGCGAUCGAAUACUUUGUUUCCCUUUGAAUCCGCCCGCAACGCCGCCGCCGCCGCCGCCGUCGCCGAUCGCCCGUACACCGACUCUUGUUUACCCGCAUCCGUUUAUCUCUGUCAGCGGCGACGCGCGCGUGCCAGCCGCUACGGGAUCAGCCUCGCGGAAGGUCUCCAUCGGCCGCGUCUCCGGACAGCACAUGAUACGCGCCGCGUCGGGACCAGGGGGUAUCCGCAGCCUCGAAGUCACCUGGUUGCACGUUCGGGUGUGCCAGGGCUGUCCCGACGACUCUAGCCAGCCAUCCGCCAAUGGGCCGAACGCAUGCACCGGCUCCUUUGAAUCACUGUCUCACUGAUCCUGCCCCGUUCUUGCCUGUCGACGACGACCGUGUGUGUGUGUCUGUGUGUGUCGAACGCGACCAGUGAGACGACCAGUUGUCGGCUACCAAUCGAGAAAGUUUCGCCAGCCACCCUGAACUGCGAAACGGGUUCAAGGUCGCCCUCAUCGUCAUCGUAGCAGUCGUCGCAGCCGCACGGGUGAAAGCUAACUGCUGACCACCACCGGAGGAAUCCAGAGCAGGAGGAUCGCUGCGAAUCGUGGGACGCGGGCGAAAGAGAGAUAAAGGAAGGACGCGAGGCCGAGAUUCAAGAUUCUCAAAGAGAUUUAUAUAUAUACAGAAUUUAUUUUGUUGCCGCGGCGGGCCGCGAUUCAGAGACUCGCGAUACAGAGUCUCGUAAGUCGUUCGGACGUUAGAUGAUCCGAAAUCCGGGAGAUCCCUAGGUAAGACUGAGAGCGGACCUCAAAGAGAGCCCGAGUAGCGCUGAUAAAACUUGCGACAGUAUUCGUAACGCGCAAUCCUCCUCGUGUUUUAAUCCCCCUCCCCCUCGACCCUUUAGACGUAAACGAACUUGUUCGUAAGUAUUAGAAUAAUAAAAGUACGCUAUAAGUAUAUAAGAAGAGAUGGUCGCGCGUGAAUCAUGAGCGACCGAUCGAAUUAAAGAGAAUCGCGUCAAGACAAUCAAGCACAGUAGUGGGUUGGGCAUAAUCGAGAAACGAGAAGAAAGGAUAGAAGAUAAGAGAGAGGGAGAAGGAACACCGAGUUCUUUCCUCUCUUCGAGGAGAGGCAAAUUGAGAAAUAACGAGUUUCGUGUCUUCAUGUGAUCUCCAGCCUCUGUACCGAGUCUACGUGUGUACACGCUCUAUUAUUCUACAUAGAUACAUAUAUGUAUAUGUAUAUAUACAUACGAUAUAUAUAUUAUAUAUAUUUACACUUAUAUACAUACGUUUAUAUGUAUACACCCUUCGCACAUAUCCGAUCGUUGGGCCGAGCUAGAUGAUCGAUCUAGAAGGAAACUAGACCAGGCCCUGACGAACGUUUCUUCCCUGUGUGCUCCCUGAAACAAGGGAACGUUCUCUGUCAAUCUUUGUGACAAUCAUUUUCAGCUAGCUCUCUUAGUGUAUUCAGACUAAGUGUCUCUUUUUAAAAGUCGCGUUUUACCAAUCGACUCGAGUCUUGUCGAAAAGAAAGAAACAUUUUAGGAGAAGAUUAAAAAA